rnacentral:rRNA from 1 species
UACGAAGGGGGCUAGCGUUGUUCGGAAUUACUGGGCGUAAAGCGCGCGCAGGCGGUCUUCCAAGUCAGUGGUGAAAGCCCGGAGCUCAACUCCGGAACUGCCAUUGAAACUGUUGGACUUGAGUACGAGAGAGGUGAGUGGAAUUCCCAGUGUAGAGGUGAAAUUCGUAGAUAUUGGGAAGAACACCGGUGGCGAAGGCGGCUCACUGGACUGGUAUUGACGCUGAGGUACGAAAGCGUGGGGAGCAAACAGG